rnacentral:lncRNA from 1 species
AUCUCGGCAGAUCCUCCGAGUAAGGAGGAUCAUGGGAUUCGAAAUUGUAAAAUGACUCGAAAGGGCCAAUGUAGUUCUUGGUUCCGGUUUGGAGGCAGACGUGGCGGAGAUUAGUGGCGAUGGGGACAACAGCCUGAAGAAGGUUUCGGAACAUGAGGCCGUUGAUCUUGCAGUUCUCUGCUUCGUUGGAUCGGCUGGCCCAGGUGACAUAAAAAAUGUGAGUAACAUCAGUGAGAUGAGAAAGCUUUGAUUUUGCUUGCGCCGAGUCGGAGAUGUCACACUGGAUGUACUCAACUGGGCAGUUCUCGUGCCAGUUUGGACGAGGACGACGGGCCACUCCAUAAACUUUCCAUGGACCGCCUGGUGUGUCGGAGCGUGGGAGGAUUUCUGCCAAGCUGUUGCCGACAAUUCCCGUUACUCCUACUAUCAAGGCCACGCUCUGGUAGCUUCCUUCACCCCCUUGAACUGCCGGUUUCUUCUGCAAAAUGAACCAUGACAGGGGAAACAAAUGAGGUCACAAAAUCAUAAUAAUUAACCAGGUAUAUCUAAUUAAAUACGGUCUUUUUUACCCAGGCAGCGCUAAGAUCACCAGCCCACCACCAGCUCAUUUCGUUAUAGAAGAUUGUAGCAGAGGAAGAUAGGAAAUGGAGAAGAUAGGAAGAUGGGAAAGCAACGCUACUGCUGAUAACUUGUCGCAUUAAUGUGGGGCGGUGAUAGGCCCAUGCGCGAUGAGUCUCGAACUUACCAAAUGCUCUUACGAAAUAAAGUCUGAAUCACGGAGCCAGGACAUCAAUUAUUUUUAUUAAAAUAAACUUUUUAAAUAUUGAUUUAGUUAGAUUUGUACCGAUUUCAGUGAGGUGAAUUAAGUUUUAAUAUUUUAUUUAUUUUAAUUACAUAUUCAAUUAGAACAAUCUUCAUGUCAUUAAUCGAAAACCUCGUGCUAGAACUAGAAAUAGAAUUCUCGAGACAAACUAAAUGCUGAGAUGAAGUAGUUAGAUUUAAUAUCGCUGAACUCAUCUCAAUAAUAAGCUUAAAUAUACAUAGAUUUGUCCUACUCGACAUUUUCAAGUUUAGCUAAGUAUAAAGCUCCGAUUUAUUUAGGUUUCGUAAGUUACUAAACCUAAUAUUAUUAGACUUGGUUAGGUAUUAAGUCAAUACAUAAAUAAGUCUGAUGAGCUGACAUAUCCCUUACCCUCAGACUUAACUAAGCACUGAGCCUAGAUACAUGUAUUUAUAAAAAUCUUGCCAUGCUUCAUUUUGAAUUAGAGAUAUUUUUUCUCAAACAAUUUAUCUUACAAUUACAUAUUUAUUUUCAAAGUUUUUCUAAAGCUCAUUUUUUUCUCUAAAAAAAUCACUCACUUACUCAUAAGAAAGUCUUCAAAUCCAUAAAAAGAAGAUCUUUCACAGGUAUUAGACACCAAUCACUAGCUACCUUGGUUAAGAAGAAGAGAUCAAAUUACUAUAAAUAAAAGAUUAGUCAAUUAUUGAAGAUGUAAACUUUGUUCUCAAACUACUUGAAUUUUUUGGAACAUCAUCAAUAAAAAUAAAAAAUUUAAGAAUGUAAUAAAUUAUAACUCUUGAAAUCAAAAAACAAGAAAUUCUUUUUUACCAACUUUUAACAAAUCCAAAACUAUCUUUUUUAUUAAAAUCAAUCACAAACAUAUUCUCUUGACACUUAGUAACAUUAACCGCAACUCUAAACAAGAUUUAAACAAUAAAAACAAUAUUUUUAUAAAUUAAACAAAAUAAAACUAGAAAACAUCAUAGCAUUAAAACAAGUUCAAAAACAUAAAAAAAGGUUUAAAAUUAGUUAUAUAGACUCGACCUUUGAGUUUUUACAUGGUUAUACUUUCUUCAAGCUUACUGGCUAUAUGUUGUUGUUUUUUCUUCUUUUUUUCCUUCCUUAUUUCCCUUUCACUCCUUUUCUUUUCAAAACUUAUUAGACCUUCUAUGUUAAGAUUUUAAACCUUUAUAAUAGGAUCUAUUAAUAGAGUAUUUUCCCAUAUUUUCCCUAUCUCUUUGUCUCUCUUUUUUUUCUUAUGAUUUCUGUAAAGUAUUUAUAGGAUUUUUCUAGGUUUUUGGAUGGAUUCCCUCAAAUAUUCAAAUAUUGAUCAAAGUUUAGCCCUUUGAUCAAAGUGAGAGGGUUCUAGAUCAAAAGCUAAUAGCUAGAAGCUCUUGUACUAUGCUGAUUUUACAAGAGUGGUUUUGGUUUUAGAGUACUUGAUGGUUUUGUUAUAUUUGAAGGGUAAUGAGCUAUUUCUGGAUCAAACCGUGCUCCAUUUGAAAGUCUGUAGCUUCACAUUCAUUUGUUUAAAUGUGUCAACUUAAUCAGUUCAAAAUUUAAAAAUACAAGGAAAGUUGAUUGAGGAUAAGAUGUUGGAAACUUUUGUGGAAGAAUUGGGGUGUAAACAUUCAAUUUUAUAGGCAUGUGGGUUGUAAAGAGUGUCGCACCCGACAUCGCGGCGGCCUUAAAAAAUUAAUCUUUGGAAAAGUACGGAUUUCUGGCAUCCUGUUCUUUGAUGGAGAACGGUCUUGUUUAAGGAGUCACCACCUAAUAUUAUGGUCACUAGGAACCCUAACUGGUCAACAGAGAUUUUAUGGUUCGGGGCUGGUUAUGUAAAAGAAAAAAUAUUAUCAUCCCUUAAACGUCCUGCCUGAGGCAGGCUGCAUUGCUGGUUUCGUCUUAAAUUGCUAAAUGUUUAUUAGUUUAUGUUAUGAAAAUUUGCUUAUAAUAUUCCUAACUCUGGCGCCAGUGAAUAUUUAACGACAAAUAUUUCCAACUCUAGCGUUGGUAAAUAUUACGUAGCUAUAAAAUAAAUUAAAUCAAUACUUUUUUAUUCCUAACUCUAGCGCCAGUGAAUAAAUAAAUAACAAUAAAUUUAUUUUUAUGCAUGCACAUAUAUUUUUUAUUUUUCUAGCUAAAUAAAAUAAAAUACAACAAAUAAAAAUAAUAUAAAUUUAAACUGAUAUUUUUAUUCCUGACUCUAACAUCGGUGAAUAAAUCGAUAAAUUUACAUUAUUUUUUAUUUGUGCAUACACAUUUUUUAUUUUAUUUUUAUUUUUUUCUAUUUUUUAUUUUGACCUUUUUUAUUUUUUGGGCUGGGCUAAGCCCAGCCGGCCCAGCCACUGCCCCAAACCAGUGGCCCGGCUGGGCUCAGCAGCACGCGUGCUGCUACACUGUGCAAGUGAAUUAAAAUUCACUUGCACAGUGUAAAAGACAUUUGAAAUAAUGCAGAGGAAGAAGUUGCUUACCUGGUCUGCUGGAAUCGAUGGAGACGACGGCGAAGCUUUGGCUGGCCGACACUGCCUCUUCUCCUUCUUCUGCUUUCCUUUGCUCUUGUGCCCGCGGUCUGCUUUUUUAUUCCAACAGACUUUGAGAUGACGAAGGAGACAACAAUGGAGAUGCCGAUUGUUGUCUUAAUUUUUUUUUGUUUUUUUUUUUGCAAGGAUAAAACGAUGGCAGGGAUAAUCAAUCCUUGUCUGUGUGUGUGCUACCCUUUUUCUCCCCUGCUCUGCGUGUUAUUUCUUUAUGUAUUUCUGUGUGCCUUUCUAUUUUUUCCUAUGUUUCCCCUUCCCCUGUGUUUUCGUUGUUCUCUCUGUAUUUUCUUUUUUUGGUUGUGUUUUGUUUGCUCUGUUUUUCUGGGUUAAUUUCUCUGCCUGGUGUUGUGAGUUGCUCUGUUUCUGGGUUGAUUUCUUUGUUUUUCUGGGUCUUUUUUUCUUCCGUAAGCUGUUAAUUGUUGGUAUUUAUAGGGACCAAUCCUCCUCUUCCUCAACCUCACGUCUCUCCUUCUGAUAAGCACGGCUGAAGGAGACGGUUUCUAUUAGGACUCGGACGCGAAGUGUAAUCCUUAUCUCGCCGGGUUGUGAUUAUCAUGAAGAUAAAUACUGCUUUUCUGUGUUUUGAAAGGACUAGGAUGCUGGUGUUUCACAAUUCCGUUUCCUUCUUUGCAGGCGGGCGUUCGGUGCUUUGGAGAUGAAGAUGACGGACAGAACCUGAUUGAAACGGUGCUGUUUUGGGGCUGAGAAUGGUUAUUUCCAAUCUGGUCCUUGAAGUUUCUUAAUCCUUGCAUUCAAACCCCUGGUCUUUUAAUUUUAAAGAUUUACCCUCCUUAAAAUUAAUUUAAAAAUAAGUGGGUCAAAAUUGGGUUACAACAAAGAGAGUGUUUUUCAAUUGAAUGAUGGUGGUUACAACCUUUGAGGUGGUCGGAAACGCUACAUUCAUUCACCUAAAAAUGGCUACUCAACCAACUAAGACUACCAAGAAAAAAAAAGAUGGAUAGAGGAUGAAUGACAUGUCAUCUAGGUUAAAUUCUAGAAAUUAAAGUUUUUUAUUUGGGUUUUGACAAAGUUUAAUUUAGUUCAUGCUCUUCCAAUUCCUUUUAAUUACACCUGGAAUUAUCUUUUAAAUUUUAAUUGCAUAUACUACAAAAUUCAAAUAUCAGUCUCAAAGUUCAAUGCAUUUAAUGAACAAGUCUUUAGUUUUUAAUUUGUUUAAUUACAUCCUUAAUUAAUCAUUAAAAUUUUAAUUUCUUUCACUGAUUUCACUAAUUUCUACAUACGAAAUUGAGUGCCACUAACAAGUUGAUCCUUGCUCCUGUGAAUCUUUAAUGAAGUCCUUAAUUGGCCUUCAAACUCUAAUAUUAUCAUAAUUAAAGCCCUCAUUUGACUGAUUAAGUUUUUCAAAGUUCAAUUUCAGUUCAUAAACUUUAAUUUCUUUUUAAUUAACACCCAAACUGACUUUAAAAACUAUUUUUCCUUGUAAUUAAGUCUGUAAUAAAAUUAAUUAAGUCUCCCAAAUUUCUCAUUAAGCCCUUAACCCUUUAAAUUUGUAUUUUUUUACUCUGAAUAAAAAUAUUUCCAUCCAAAUUGAGCCGAGUUUUGUGGUUUCACCACCGCAAUGUCGUGAGAAAGCAUUAGAUUAUUUAGAUGGUUGGAUGUAGAGGUAAUCAAAGAAGAUGAGCUAUUAGGGUUCAAUGAUUUGGUAAAAACUAAUCCAUCUUAUUUGAAGAUAAUUAAGGGCCCAAGUAGCGAGUAGUUGGAGGAAAAGAGUCAUUUGCAAACUGGUAAGAAAAAUGAAUCCCAACAAGAAAUAAUUGAUACAUAGUGUGGAAGAUUCAUUGAAUUCUGAGGUAUUUGUCAAAGAAAAGCAGACAGUGGAGCCAAUGUUAUGUUAAGAGGCAUCAAGAAAUGUCCAGUGACAAGAACAAGAGAAGAAUUCUCACGUCGAAGCAAAGUGAGACAAGGAAGUUAGAGGAGAAACCACCAGAAGAGUUGAUAAAAAUAUAUAUAUAAGUCUCUUCAACUGAUUGAAAAAUUCAUACAACAACACAAGAUGAAUCUAUUAAUUGGUAAGCAGAUGCUAGCUGGGAGCGUUGGAAGAGAAAUGCGAGGGAGGCUUUCCUACGCGACAGUUUCGGUUGUUUUUUUAAUAAUUUUUUAUAUUAAAAUAUAUAUUAAUAUAUAUUUUUAUUUUUUAAAAUGAUUUUUUAUAUAAAUAUAUUAAAAUAAUGUAAAAACGAUAAAAAUAUAUUAAUUUUAAAAAAAAUUAAAAUUAUUUUUUUAAAAAAAUAUUUUUAAAACAUAAAAAGAGCUUUGCUAAAAGGAUUCCUUUUGCUGUUUUCAAAUUUUCUCCCAUUUAAACCAACCUGACAAGGGAAUAUUCAAGUUGUGUCCUUCAUCGAUUAGUCAAACAUUUAGGUACAAUUUUAGAAAUAUAUUUCGAAUUAUCUCAAAAUACCUUGAAAAUAAAGCAUGUUAGGUCUCAACCUCCUCUUUUUUUAAUGUAUGCUGCUCGAAUAAAUGUCAGUUUUUCUUCCGAGCAAGCUAUAAUACGUUGAAAAUGUAUGCGGAUUAAGUUAAAUCAAAUAAUUUAUUCAAAAAGUAGUAGUAUUAAAUUUUUAAUUUAAAGAUUAAUGAUAUUGUGACUAAUAAUCGAGAAGGAUUUUAUACUAUUUAGCCCAACGCAAACGCAAGAGUAGACAUAUAACUUGGAGUUAUUAGGUAAUUUUCAUUUUCAAACACGAAAGGCUCCCUGCUCGAGUGUUUUAAAAGAGACCCCAUCUUGUGAUUCAAAAGCAAACAAAGGAAUCCACCAAGGGAAAAAGAAAAGCAGCUCCCCUUGGAUAUACUUGGAACAUCCAACGAUACCACUUCCAGACACUGGAGAUGUUUGGUGUGAUGUCGGACUCAUCGUGACUUAACCAGAUGAUACAUCUAGUGUGUAAUUGUCAUCUCGAGAUAAAAACAAAAAGUCAAGAUCGAGGCAAUAUUUUUUUUUGUUUUUUCUAUUUUUUUUAAAUAAAAAUCACUAUAAAUCUUUAUCAUAUACAAAUUUAUUUUAGAUUUCUGUCUUUUUACUUUCAUUAUCCUUUUUCUAUGAAAAGUCGCUUACGUCUUGGAUACUACUUGAACACAAUUUCAAAGUGAUUUUUUAGUGUUCUUUGAGAAAAUAGACAAAAAUAGAAAACACAGAUACAUGUUUGGUUUGCUUUGUUCCAUUUUUUUUUUUUGAAGUGCUAAGGUAGUAACCAAAUUUUAUACUUGCAUUAAGGGAUUUCAUGAGGUUUUAUAAUUGCAAAGAAAGCUUGUUUGAUGGUUUUGGAAAGAUUAUAUAAUUAUUAAAAAAAAAAAUUACAAAGACACAUGUAAAAGAUAUUAAUAGUAAUUCUUAUUUUAAUGAGAGAUUAAUGGAUAAAAUUGAUUCUUAGUUGUGUGUUUUGGUUUUGUUUUACAACACUUAUAAAGGCAAUGUUUAAGAGUGAUGUAAAUUUUAUUUUUUUUAUUAUAUUUUAAAAAUACAUUUCACAUAAACAAAACAUCUAAUUGAUGUUUGAUAUUUUUUAGUAUAAAAUACCAUGCAUCACAAUAACAACUAGUUAUUCCUGAACAAACAUUGAAUAUGAAAAAUAAUUGUUUUUUAAAGGUCGUAUGAUUUUUUUUUUGGCAAAAAAAACUAAAUCUCCACGAUUUUGCACGAUCCUUUUCAGAUUUGGUGACAAACAUAGAAGAAAAAUAUGUUUAAAAUAAUAUAAAUUAUAUUUUAUAAUUUUACCUAACGAUUUAAGUUUUUGGAUUGAAAUUGUUUGUUAACAUGGAAUCAAAAUUUUAAUAAUUAAGUGAUUACAAGUUCAAAUCUUAUCUUUUCUAUUUAUUUAAUAAAAAUUAAACACAAGAUAAUAUGAACAUUUAUAAAUUUCAAGUUUAAAGGAUUUCCAAGGGGUGUAUUAAAAAAGCUUAAAUUUUUGGAUUGAGAUGAUUAUUUGACAAAACAUGCAUUUUAUUUAUCAAUUUAAAUAUAAAAAACAUCAUUUUUUAAAUAAUUAGAAACAUUUCAAAAUCACUUUAUACAUUAAUAAAAAUAAAAAUAAAAAAAAUAAUUUUAAGAACGUACAACUCUGGAAAUAAAAAAGAGGAGCCAUACUUUAUUACCACCAUACCUGAACCAUUGAAAACAUAUAUUAUAUUAAAUAUUAAUCCAAAAAUUUCUCACCACCUACCAUUCUUGAAUUAUAUAGACGACUCCCAUUAAAUAUCUAGUCAUUCUUAUCAACUCAAGGUAGGAAAUAUCUUAUCUCCAGAAUUACUAGUAGGCUAGCAAAAUAAAAAUAAAACUACUGUACUCUUACAUUAUUGGGGUGUGCAGGGGAGAAGUGUCCAGGUGCAAGAAGUGCAGGUGUAAGAAGAGUGAAUCGUGAAUCAGUGGGCGAAACAUCAUCAAUCAUGAUCAUGAUCAUGAUGUGUUGUGUAUGCAUCACCACUUAAUAAAAGUCUAGUGUGUUGUUUUACCCAUCAUUAUUGUCCUAAAAAUUCAACAAGUAUUAUCAGAGUUAUUGCCUAUAAUUCAUGCCUAAUAAUUAAUACCAGGGCUUAUCGAUCAAGGAACUAUCAAAACCGGUGGUCGGAGACUACGAUAAAGUGCCUGUUUGGCAUUGCAGUCAAACUAGUUUUUUAAAAAAAUUCAAAUUUUUUUUUUAUGUUAAAAUUGAGUGUGGUUUGUAUUUUUUGAAUCGUUUUGAUGUGCUGAUGUCAAAAAUGAUUUUUAAAAAAUAAAAAAACAUUAUUGACAUGCUUUUCGACACGAAAAACUAUUUGAAAAGCAACCGCUACCACACUCCCAAACACCCUCAAAGUAGCUAGCAAAAGUGUUUACUCGAUUGUGAAGUUUAUAGGUCAGGGACCUAUCAGAGCUUGCGGUUUGGGAUCAUCUUUUUAUUUUGCCGAUUAGAGAUCAAAACUAUUGAGGAAUCAUAAGAAGAGGCUCUGCUUUUUUUGGGAUCGUCUUUUUUAUUUGUAUACAUUAAUGUAAAUAAAAAAAAUUAAAUAAUCUUAAGACGGGACCAAAUUGAGGAGCAAUCCUUUUUUACCACUAUAUCUAAACCAUUAAUCAGAAUCAUGAGUAACAAAAAACACAUUUAUUAAACUUGCCAAAAUACAUAUUAUUAAUAUUGCCAACCAUUAAAACUGGGUGAAUUUUGAUGCGAACAAUCCACCUCUCCCUCGUAGCUUUUAUUUUUCAACACUACCGGGCAGCAAGUUAUCGACAUGCAGCGGCUUCAAGCAAAAUGGAAAACAUACUUCUUCAAUUAGGGAUGACCUUCUGGGCUCUCAUCUUACCAAUCCAGUGCACAAAUGAUUUGGUGGAAUUCCUAAACCCCAAGAAUCCAUGUUCCUUGCUCUUAUUCAUGCACGAUAUAAAGGCAUCACCACUAAGCAUGGUGUCCACAUACCACCAGCCCCCAACCUCCUCUAACUUCGUAGGAAACAACUGGUUCUUCUUCACGAUCUCCUCCCACACUGGCCCCUUAUCUUUCAUCCUCUCAGCCAAGGUCGCUCUUUUCUCCCCCUCUUCGAACCCGUACUUUUCUAUCCCGAACUGCUCGGCCAGGACUUUCCAUAAAUGCUUCCACUUGAAGUAAUCUGCGUUGUGGAUAUUGAACGCUUGGUUUUGAGCAUUAGGCUCCACACAUGCCCAGAUUUCCUGCUCCGCCACCAGAUCGGCAUCUGAUGCGAUCGCGUAGCAGUUCCACGCCUCUUUAGUACCUGGAAACAUCAACGGAGCUCCCUCGUGCUUGCAUAUAGCAGCAUAAACAGAAAGGGUUACAAUUAUAUUCAUCAAGCUAUGGGGCGAGAAGCCAAAUAUGAUAUCAGGACGGUGAACAGACCAAGUCACUCCCUCUUUCUUUGCCACUUCCUCGAACAUAACAUCUUCCAAAGUGUAGUAAAAAUUGUCUACCUUUAAUCUCGGCAGAUCCUCCGAGUAAGGAGGAUCAUGGGAUUCGAAAUUGUAAAAUGACUCGAAAGGGCCAAUGUAAUGCUUGGUUCCGGUUUGGAGACUCACGUGGCGGAGAUUAGUGGCGAUGGGGACAACAGCCUGAAGAAGGUUUCGGAACAUGAGGCCGUUAAUCUUGCAGUUCUCUGCUUCGUUGGAUCGGCUGGCCCAGGUGACAUAAAAAAUGUGAGUAACAUCAGUGAGAUGAGAAAGCUUUGAUUUUGCUUGCGCCGGGUCGGAGAUGUCACACUGGAUGUACUCAACUGGGCAGUUCUCGUGCCAGUUUGGACGAGGACGACGGGCCACUCCAUAAACUUUCCA